rnacentral:rRNA from 1 species
UACGAAGGGGGCUAGCGUUGCUCGGAAUCACUGGGCGUAAAGGGUGCGUAGGCGGGUCUUUAAGUCAGGGGUGAAAUCCUGGAGCUCAACUCCAGAACUGCCUUUGAUACUGAAGAUCUUGAGUUCGGGAGAGGUGAGUGGAACUGCGAGUGUAGAGGUGAAAUUCGUAGAUAUUCGCAAGAACACCGAUUGCGAAGGCAGCUCACUAAGCUGUAACUGACACUGAGGCACGAAAGCGUGGGUAGCGAACAAGG